CGUAGGUGGAUAAUUCAACAUACAGUAAAAGACUGAAGAAAAACUUCUUUCAUCUGUGUUCACUGGUUAUCUUGAGUUUUGGAGGCGGCUUUUUGAAUUCUUGAAGGAAGGGUGAAAUUGUUGAUAUUGGAAGACAUUCGAAAGCGAAAGCAUGAGCCGAUUCAGAUCUGACAUUAGGUACUAAAGUAUGGGGAUAAAUAGGAUUAGAGACCUAGUAGUCCAUACCUUAACAAUGAGUGUUUAACAUCUUUUAGCUGGUGCGAAAAAAGCAUUGGUCAUCUGAGGUUUAAAGCUAACGCGUGAAACACCGCCUGGGGAAUGUGGCCGCAAGGUUAAACUCAAAGGAAUUGACGGUGACUUAUACAAGG
rnacentral:rRNA from 1 species